rnacentral:rRNA from 1 species
AUUCCAGCUCCAAUAGCGUAUAUUAAAGUUGUUGCGGUUAAAAAGCUCGUAGUUGGAUUUCUGCUGAGGACGACCGGUCCGCCCUCCGGGUGAGCAUCUGGUUCGGCCUUGGCAUCUUCUUGGUGAACGUAUCUGCACUUGACUGUGUGGUGCGGUACCCAGGACUUUUACUUUGAGGAAAUUAGAGUGUUUCAAGCAGGCAUACGCCUUGAAUACAUUAGCAUGGAAUAAUAAGAUAGGACCUCGGUUCUAUUUUGUUGGUUUGCGCAUCAAGGUAAUGAUUAAUAGGGUCAGUUGGGGGUAUUCGUAUUCCGUUGUCAGAGGUGAAAUUCUUGGAUUUACGGAAGACGAACGACUGCGAAAGCAUUUACCAAGGAUGUUUUCAUUG